rnacentral:rRNA from 1 species
GCACAAGCGGUGGAUGAUGUGGUUAAUUCGAUGCAACGCGAAAACCUUACCACCUUUGACAUGUACGGAAGUUGCCAGAGAUGGCUUCGUGCUCGAAAGAGAGCCGUAACACAGGUGCUGCAUGGCUGUCGUCAGCUCGUGUCGUGAGAUGUUGGGUUAAGUCCCGCAACGAGCGCAACCCUUGUCAUUAGUUGCUACGAAAGGGCACUCUAAUGAGACUGCCGGUGACAAACCGGAGGAAGGUGGGGAUGACGUCAAGUCCUCAUGGCCCUUAUAGGUGGGGCUACACACGUCAUACAAUGGCUGGUACAAAGGGUUGCCAACCCGCGAGGGGGAGCCAAUCCCAUAAAGCCAGUCGUAGUCCGGAUCGCAGUCUGCAACUCGACUGCGUGAAGUCGGAAUCGCUAGUAAUCGUGGAUCAGCAUGUCACGGUGAAUACGUUCCCGGGUCUU